rnacentral:rRNA from 1 species
UGGGGAAUAUUGCACAAUGGGCGCAAGCCUGAUGCAGCCAUGCCGCGUGUGUGAAGAAGGCCUUCGGGUUGUAAAGCACUUUCAGCGAGGAGGAAGGUGGUGAGCUUAAUACGCUCAUCAAUUGACGUUACUCGCAGAAGAAGCACCGGCUAACUCCGUGCCAGCAGCCGCGGUAAUACGGAGGGUGCAAGCGUUAAUCGGAAUUACUGGGCGUAAAGCGCACGCAGGCGGUUUGUUAAGUCAGAUGUGAAAUCCCCGGGCUCAACCUGGGAACUGCAUUUGAAACUGGCAAGCUAGAGUCUCGUAGAGGGGGGUAGAAUUCCAGGUGUAGCGGUGAAAUGCGUAGAGAUCUGGAGGAAUACCGGUGGCGAAGGCGGCCCCCUGGACGAAGACUGACGCUCAGGUGCGAAAGCGUGGGGCAGCAAACAGGAUUAGAUACCCUGGUAGUCCAGCGCUGUAAACGAUGUCGAUUUUGGAGGUUGUGCCCUUGAGGCGUGGCUUCCGGAGCUAACGCGUUAAAUCGACCGCCUGGGGAGUACGGCCGCAAGGUUAAAACUCAAAUGAAUUGACGGGGUCAUAGCUGUUCCU